GACGAACGCUGGCGGCGUGCUUAACACAUGCAAGUCGAACGGAAAGGCCCUGCUUUUGUGGGGUGCUCGAGUGGCGAACGGGUGAGUAACACGUGAGUAACCUGCCCUUGACUUUGGGAUAACUUCAGGAAACUGGGGCUAAUACCGGAUAGGAGCUCCUGCUGCAUGGUGGGGGUUGGAAAGUUUCGGCGGUUGGGGAUGGACUCGCGGCUUAUCAGCUUGUUGGUGGGGUAGUGGCUUACCAAGGCUUUGACGGGUAGCCGGCCUGAGAGGGUGACCGGCCACAUUGGGACUGAGAUGCGGCCCAGACUCCUACGGGAGGCAGCAGUGGGGAAUAUUGCACAAUGGGCGGAAGCCUGAUGCAGCAACGCCGCGUGCGGGAUGACGGCCUUCGGGUUUUAAACCGCUUUCGCCUGUGACGAAGCGUGAGUGACGGUAAUGGGUAAAGAAGCACCGGCUAACUACGUG
rnacentral:rRNA from 1 species